UGGCAACAAAUGGCCACAAACCGAUCAAAGGUGAAAGUGACGGUGAACCAGACAGAGCAGUCAGUGGCUGAAUAAACCAGGAUGGCGUGGAUAUUACACACGGGGACGGAGUACAGGAAAUAAAACUGUUCCCGAUAAACAAUGGGAAUGUGUCUCAGGAUCAGGUCGAGGAUAAUGACCAGGAGAUCCGCCGCUGCCAUGGCCCCCAGGGGCUUCCUCGUGUUACUGACAGCAAGAUCACCUGAGAGGGACAAACACAGGCACAGACCAAGUUACAAGGAUGUGUCUCAUAACUUCGGAAACACACCUGUCCAUGGACCAUCACAUGGAACACACUGGGAAGUGAACAACAGCCUGACACACACCAUUUCACUGUUUCUGAGCGACACAAUGCCAGCAAUCGAUAUACUACAGAGCCAAAACCCGAGGCCAGGGAAAGAUACAGAGGGACAGAGAGUCUCACAUUAAAGACAGAAACAGACAGUUAAUUAAUUGAAAAGAUGUUGUGAAAAUAUGGGGAAAAAGACAUGGCCGUGGGACUAACUCGAGCAGUGAGAUCUUCGAAAGCAAAAUUACAAGAAUGAGAACAUUGAAUAAAGGCAUUGUCAGAUCAACGGAAA